rnacentral:rRNA from 1 species
GACGAACGCUGGCGGCGUGCCUAAUACAUGCAAGUCGAGCGGACGGAUGGGAGCUUGCUCCCAGACCGUCAGCGGCGGACGGGUGAGUAACACGUGGGCAACCUGCCUGUAAGCCUGGGAUAACUCCGGGAAACCGGGGCUAAUACCGGAUAACUCUUUCCCUCACAUGAGGGAAAGCUGAAAGAUGGCAUCUCGCUAUUACUUACAGAUGGGCCCGCGGCGCAUUAGCUAGUUGGCGAGGUAACGGCGCACCAAGGCGACGAUGCGUAGCCGACCUGAGAGGGUGAUCGGCCACACUGGGACUGAGACACGGCCCAGACUCCUACGGGAGGCAGCAGUAGGGAAUCUUCCGCAAUGGACGAAAGUCUGACGGAGCAACGCCGCGUGAGUGAUGAAGGUUUUCGGAUCGUAAAACUCUGUUGUCAGGGAAGAACAAGUACCGGAGUAACUGCCGGUACCUUGACGGUACCUGACCAGAAAGCCACGGCUAACUACGUG